CCUACAGGAGGCUGCAGUGGGGAAUAUUGCACAAUGGGGGAAACCCUGAUGCAGCGACGCCGCGUGAGUGAAGAAGUAUUUCGGUACUUAAAGCUCUAUCAGCAGGGAAGAAAAUGACGGUACCUGUCUAAGAAGCCCCGUCCAACUACGUGCCAGCAGCCGCGGUAACACGUAGGGGGCAAGCGUUAUCCGGAUUUACUGGGUGUAAAGGGAGCGUAGGCGGCAGAGCAAGUCUGGAGUGAAAUCCCAUGGCUUAACCAUGGAACUGCUUUGGAGACUGUGCAGCUGGAGUGCAGGAGAGGUAGGCGGAAUUCCUGGUGUAGCGGUGAAAUGCGUAGAUAUUAGGAGGAACACCGGUGGCGAAGGCAGCUUACUGGACUAUAACUGACGUUGAGGCUCGAAAGCGUGGGGAGCAAACAGGAUUAGAUACCCUUGUAGUC
rnacentral:rRNA from 1 species